GGUGAUAGUGCAGUGUCCAUCUGCACAGGGGAUUGGUUCAAAUCAGCCCUGAUACAGCUGUCCAGACUGCCACAAAUCCUAUGGAUACCUUGGAAUUUCCUGCAAACUCCAGAAUAUCCUCCAAAUUGGACAAAGCAAGAAAACCUACAAUACUCACUUGAAGUUGGCAAAUGUGGGGACAGCAAGCACUCAAUUCAAGUUUGAUUCUACAGCUCCCAGGCUGACAAGAACCAGAAGUGCCUUGCU
rnacentral:lncRNA from 11 species